rnacentral:rRNA from 1 species
GCGGAAGGAUCAUUAUUGAAUGAAACUCCUGGUUGGAUGCUGUUGUGCUGGCCCUUUGCNGCAACGUGCACACCUCUGGCCAUUUGUUUCUUCUGUUCCACCUGUGCACUGCCUGUAGACGCACUGUGUCUAUGAUAUUGGUUACACACACGCAAUGAUAUGNGGCAUAUAUAUGUUAUAUAUAUAAAUACAACUUUCAACAAUGGAUCUCUUGGCUCUCGCAUCGAUGAAGAACACAGCGAAAUGUGAUAAGUAAUGUGAAUUGCAGAAUCCAGUGAAUCAUCGAAUCUUUGAACGCAUCUUGCGCUCCUUGGCAUUCCGAGGAGCAUGCCUGUUUGAGUGUCAUUAAACUAUCAAAACACUUUUUUUAUUUAUUUAUAUAAAGUGUUUUGGACUUUGGGAGUAUUUGUGCUGGUCUGUUUGAGCCAGCUCUCCUCAAAAGCAAUUAGCUUUGGAGACCAUCAGUGUGAUAAUUUGUUUACACUGGCUUCUCCUUUUUUAAAUGCACCCUUUGACCUCAAAUCAGGUAGGACUACCCGCUGAACUUAAGCAUAUCAAUAAGCGGAGGAAAAGAAACUAACAAGGAUUCCCCUAGUAACUGCGAGUGAAGCGGGAAAAGCUCAAAUUUGAAAUCUGGCAGUCUUUUUUUUCUUCUUUGGCUGUCCGAGUUGUA